GCAGACACAUUCCAGCCAAUCAGCAGCAGACCCUCCCUCCCAGACCCUUCCACCUCCUGGACAGCUCACUAAGAAUGCAGCUUCACAAUGAAUGUAAAAUGGAUGCUGUCCAGGAGGUGGGAGGGUCUGGGAGGGAGGGUCUGCUGCUGAUUGGCUGGAAAGUGUCUG